UUGUGUGGAAGACUUGUAAUACUUUUUUUCUAUGGAAUGGCUUGAUGCUUUACUAUUCUAAAGCAGUUUCCUCCUUUUUAACUUAAUAAGGAAAAUUAAGGGAAGAUAAAACCUGAGGAAAGUGAUUAUCCUGAGUUGGAAUCAAUGCUAUCAUUGCUAUUCAAAGGCUGGAAGCAGUCAGACGUUGAGAAACCAUUUUACUUGUAAUGGAUGGAACAAAAGCCAACAACAGACUGAGAACAUGCAUCUGGUAAUACAAGAACCAAACCUAAAACUGAAAGGCCUGGGCUAACAGAAGAAAGGCCCGGGAUCACUCCAAUCAGCCCCCAGCUGGUCCAGCUCAUGAGUUUAGCUCCAAACUUUCAUUUUGAACUUUAUGCUGUGUCACACGAAGAAAGGCCAAGUGUUGGAACAUUAACCCCCAAUAGAACAUGAUCGAGAUGUGGGAAUGUCAAGAAGUAGUCAGAUUACGAAAUCUCUGCUCUAAGGGAUGCAUGC